rnacentral:rRNA from 1 species
GACGAACGCUGGCGGCGUGCUUAACACAUGCAAGUCGAACGGGCCUGUCCUCUUUUUUGGGGGGUGGGUUGAGUGGCGAACGGGUGAGUAUCACGUGAGUAACCUGCCCUUCGGUCCUGGAUAACCGCUUGAAAGGGCGGCUAAUACGGGGUGGUCCGGUUGGUCCGCAUGGGCUGGUCGGGAUAGAUUCACUGUUUUUGGUGUUUCGGCGGGGGAUGGGCUCGCGGCCUAUCAGCUUGUUGGUGGGGUGAUGGCCUACCAAGGCGGUGACGGGUAGCCGGCCUGAGGGGGUGGGCGGCCACACUGGGACUGGGAUACGGCCCAGACUCCUGCGGGAGGCAGCAGUGGGGGGUAUUGCACAAUGGGCGGAAGCCUGAUGCAGCGACGUCGCGUGAGGGAUGGAGGCCUUCGGGUUGUGAACCUCUGUUUCCGGUGGUGAGGGCCCUGUCCGUGUGGUGGGGUUGACGGUAGCCGGGGAUGAAGCGCCGGCUAACUACGUG